rnacentral:ncRNA from 1 species
UGACCUCGGAUCAGGUAGGAAUACCCGCUGAACUUAAGCAUAUCAAUAAGCGGAGGAAAAGAAACCAACAGGGAUUGCCCUAGUAACGGCGAGUGAAGCGGCAACAGCUCAAAUUUGAAAUCUGGCUUCGGCCCGAGUUGUAAUUUGUAGAGGAAGCUUUUGGUGAGGCACCUUCUGAGUCCCCUGGAACGGGGCGCCAUAGAGGGUGAG